rnacentral:lncRNA from 1 species
GCCCGCUAACAAAUUGAAACUUUCCAGAUUUUUAGUAUUCGUAUUGUUAUCUUAGAAAGUCUUACGGAUUAAAAUACUACAAUAGGUAACAAUUUGACAAUUAAGUAGUGUCAACCCUGUGAUUAUGACCCGUGUAUAUAGCAUAUUAAUCCUGAAUACACCGUUUGGUGGUGCGCCUGUCAGAUGCGGAACGUACAGAUAAGGUAAUAGGUAACAGGUGAUUAUACUAUUGGUAUCGGUAUCGGACUCGACCCGGAACUUCCUAAUUAUUGGCAAUAUUAAUUACGUGGAAAACAAAAGGGCCUGGAGUGGUGUAAUUUUUAAUCUACACCUUUGUACUAUAUUAGCUGUAUAUAAAGUUGAAUUCU